GCCCCAGUGGCCUAAUGGAUAAGGUCACUGGCCCUCCUAAGCCAGGGAUUGUGGGUUCGAGUCCCGUCUGGGGUGAUUCA